rnacentral:snRNA from 1 species
GUGCUCGCUUUUGCAGCACAUAUACUAAAAUUGGAACAAUACAGAAAUUAGCAUGGCCCCUGUGCAAGGAUGAUACACAAAUUCGUAAAGCAUUCCACAUUUUU